CCUACGGGUGGCUGCAGUCGAGGAUCUUUGGCAAUGGACGCAAGUCUGACCAAGCGACGCCGCGUGGAUGAUGAAGGCCUUCGGGUUGUAAAAUCCUGUCGAGGGGGACGAAGCCGCAAGGUUGACCGAUCCCUGGAGGAAGGGCGGGCUAAGUUCGUGCCAGCAGCCGCGGUAAGACGAACUGCCCAAACGUUGUUCGGAAUCACUGGGCUUAAAGGGCGCGUAGGCGGGCAUAAAAGUCAGGGGUGAAAUCCGGCAGCUUAACUGUCGAAGUGCCUUUGAUACUAUAUGUCUUGAGGGAGGUAGGGGUCCGUGGAACUUCUGGUGGAGCGGUGAAAUGCGUUGAUAUCAGAAGGAACGCCGGUGGCGAAAGCGACGGACUGGAUCUUUUCUGACGCUGAGGCGCGAAAGCUAGGGGAGCAAACGGGAUUAGAUACCCUGGUAGUC
rnacentral:rRNA from 1 species